AUACGAAGGGGGCUAGCGUUGCUCGGAAUUACUGGGCGUAAAGGGCGCGUAGGCGGACAGUUUAGUCAGAGGUGAAAGCCCAGGGCUCAACCUUGGAAUUGCCUUUGAUACUGGCUGUCUUGAGUUCGGGAGAGGUGAGUGGAAUGCCGAGUGUAGAGGUGAAAUUCGUAGAUAUUCGGCGGAACACCAGUGGCGAAGGCGACUCACUGGCCCGAUACUGACGCUGAGGCGCGAAAGCGUGGGGAGCAAACAGGAUUAGAUACCCCGGUAGUCC
rnacentral:rRNA from 1 species